CCCUCCUUUCUACUCUUUUCUUUUCUUUUCUUUUCUUUCUUUCUUUCUUUCUUUCUUUCUUUCUUUCUUUCUUUCUUUCUUUCUUUCUUUUUCUUUCCUUUUUCUUUCUUCUUCUUGCUUUCUUCUCUCUCUCUCUUUCUCUCUUUCUUUCUCUUAUUUUUCUAGGCAGGUUCUUCAGCUCCUAUACUGGUCUGUAUGUCUAGGUCACAUAUCCUGUCUUGAUAAUCAUCCCAAUCCAUCAUGAAAUGUUUAUGUCCAAAGCCUAUUUUUCACAUUCUCAUCUGUAGAGUCUGUGAAUGCUAUGGGAUGGGGAUGUUUGACCUGAUAAGAUAUGAGAAUAGGUAAAUUUACCUAUAUUUUGCAGGAGAAAGCCAGUUUAAGGCAGCAUCUAUGUAUUUUACAAGGAUAUAUUUUCAAAGUUCUCUAUAUUAAUAAUUCCAUAAACACAUAUUAUGAAGAAUGUGGCUUUGGAGUCAGACAUACUUUUAAAAAUCUCUAUUGUUCUUAAGUUGAGCAACCUAUAUCAAGUCAUUGUUGGCUACCCGGUUUUUCAAAAGGCCCAAGGACCCGUGUUUCACAUGGUCUCUCUCUCUCUCCCUCUUUGUGUGUGCAGCUCAGCCCAAAUUAUAACACUUCCUUCCCCUUACACAAAGUCAAUAGCUCUCUCAAAGACCUUUUCAAGACUUCCUAUGUGAAAACUUCCUUAACUAUGUACAACCCCUUGUAGAUUUUCUGUUCAUCUGAUCUCCUAUAAAAUCUGCAUUUAGUUCCACAUGUUUGUUAUGUAUGCUAACACUUCCCUCAAUUUAUUUGGAAAGCAGGGGCUCACUUGUUCAUUCAUUCAUUCAUUCAUUCAGUAAUCCAACUUUAAUAAAGUAUAAAAGUCAUUGUCUUGUAUGAUAUGGAUACAACAGCUAAAUAAAUUUCUAUUCCAAAUCCUGAUGAACCUACAAUUUAAAUCAGAGUGCAAAGCGGGAACAAAGUACACUUGUUGCUGGGA
rnacentral:lncRNA from 1 species